CAAGGGGCCCCUUUAGGGGCCACUUAUUUAAAAAAUGUAAAAGACA
rfam:Rattus norvegicus chromosome 1, whole genome shotgun sequence.